rnacentral:rRNA from 1 species
GUAGUCAUAUGCUUGUCUCAAAGAUUAAGCCAUGCAUGUCUAAGUAUAAGCAAUCUAUACAGUGAAACUGCGAAUGGCUCAUUAAAUCAGUUAUCGUUUAUUUGAUAGUACCUUACUACAUGGAUAACCGUGGUAAUUCUAGAGCUAAUACAUGCUAAAAAUCCCGACCUCUGGAAGGGAUGUAUUUAUUAGAUAAAAAACCAAUGGCUUCGGCCUCCUUGGUGAUUCAUGAUAACUUUACGAAUCGCAUGGCCUUGUGCCGGCGAUGGUUCAUUCAAAUUUCUACCCUAUCAACUUUCGAUGGUAGGAUAGUGGCCUACCAUGGUUUCAACGGGUAACGGGGAAU